rnacentral:rRNA from 1 species
GAUGAACGCUGGCGGCGUGCCUAAUACAUGCAAGUCGAGCGAAUGGAUUAAGAGCUUGCUCUUAUGAAGUUAGCGGCGGACGGGUGAGUAACACGUGGGUAACCUGCCCAUAAGACUGGGAUAACUCCCGGAAACCGGGGCUAAUACCGGAUAAUAUUUUGAACUGCAUGGUUCAAAAUUGAAAGGCGGCUUCGGCUGUCACUUAUGGAUGGACCCGCGUCGCAUUAGCUAGUUGGUGAGGUAACGGCUCACCAAGGCAACGAUGCGUAGCCGACCUGAGAGGGUGAUCGGCCACACUGGGACUGAGACACGGCCCAGACUCCUACGGGAGGCAGCAGUAGGGAAUCUUCCGCAAUGGACGAAAGUCUGACGGAGCAACGCCGCGUGAGUGAUGAAGGCUUUCGGGUCGUAAAACUCUGUUGUUAGGGAAGAACAAGUGCUAGUUGAACAAGCUGGCACCUUGACGGUACCUAACCAGAAAGCCACGGCUAACUACGUGCCAGCCGCCGCCGUAA